GACAGAGGGGGCAAGCGUUGCUCGGAAUCACUGGGCGUAAAGGGCGCGUAGGCGGCGGGGUAAGUCUGGUGUGAAAUCUCGGAGCUCAACUCCGAAAUUGCACUGGAUACUGCUCUGCUUGAGGGUUGGAGAGGAGAUCGGAAUUCACGGUGUAGCAGUGAAAUGCGUAGAUAUCGUGAGGAAGACCAGUGGCGAAGGCGGAUCUCUGGACAAAUCCUGACGCUGAGGCGCGAAGGCUAGGGGAGCAAACGGG
rnacentral:rRNA from 1 species